CUCUCUGAGACAGACGCCAUGGAGCCAGCUGCCAGGUCAUACAUGCUGAAUCUUUCCUGGGGUGAGUCACCAUUUGGAAUAGUAGACUCCGUGGCUACCCUUGGAAAGAUGUGCUGGUAGCAGGUGCCAAGAAUACUUAACUAAGUACUAAAACCAGGUCUAAGCUAGCCGGGCAGCUGGGACCAAAUAAGUGACCUCUACCCAACAAAACUCAGAUGCGAAGACAUCAGAAAGAGGGCAUGCAACUGUACGUGGGAAAGAAUUGAGAGGUAAAAUGUGGGCAUCUAUAAAGGUGAUGAUUGAUUUCCCUGCAGUAAAGCUGGAAAAGCAGAAGUAGAAAUGGCAGACAAAACAUAGUUAUACUUAGUAAAGGAUGGCUAAAAACUGGGCUAUUACCGCAUCUUCCCCCCACCAUAGAAGAAGUGAUCACCCCAAGUAAGGUGGCCCUUAAUGAGCACUGCCCACAGAUUGGGCAGCAUGCUAUGGGUUUUCCCCAUGGAUUGCCUUCUCUCAGCAGUUUCAAGUCUGCUGCAUAACUAUCUGCAGUUUAAAGAUGGUGGCGUGGAGGUUUGAGCAGGCUUGUGUUCAUAUACCACCUCUAGACUGCCCAAUAGAGCCAGGACUCCUUCGAGAAGACCACUCCAGCACUGUGCCUUUAGCUCUUUGGAGUAGUGACUGCAUUGGGAGAGUUUGGCUUGAGUUCUACCAUUAAUAUGGUUAAACCCAGAAACAUUUUCUAGAAUCCUUAAGAGCAUCUUCCUGCCUCUGAAAUGUCUAAAUACCUUCCUUUAUUUUAGGGCUACUGUGAAGUCACAAAUGGCAAAAAAAAAAAAAAAAAAACCUUUUUUUCUUUUUUCUUUUAACCACUGUAGAAAAUCUGUUGUUUCUUGACUGUUUUUCUUGCAGAGAUCACACAUGGUGGUGAGUAUAUGUUUCCUUCUUCAGAGCUUGCACCGGCCCAGCAGUGUGAAUUCUGUGAGCCAUGUAUUGACUGCACAGUUCCUAAAGCCUAUAGCCUACAAUUAAUGAGACUGGGGUGGACACCUGACCCUGGAAAAGCCAGUGGGAUGCUCUUGAGUAAACAUUCAGGCAUUUGUAACUGGAUCUGAGUGGGGUAAAUUCAGUCUAAGUGCCCCCCCCCUUUAAAAAAAUAUUUAUCCAUUCUCAUUCUCUCUCUCUCUCUCUCUCUCUCUCUCUCUCUCUCUGUGUGUGUGUGUGUGUGUGUGUGUGUGUCUGUGUCUGUGUGCAUGCACACAUACACCAUGGUACGCAUGUGGAAGUCAGGACAAUUUUGUGGAGUCUGUUCUCUCUUCUUCUUCUGAGUUUUGGGAAAGGGUCACCGAGCUCAGGCAGUGAGCACCUGUGACCCACUGAGCUAUCUCACUGGCCAAAGCUGCUUCUCUGAAAAGAAACACACAAUGAGAAACUGAAGGUACCGACCUCCUCCCAUAUACACAAGAAAACAAUUAAAACUCUAUUUGGAGAAGGAGGCUCUCAAGACAGGCAGUGCCUUUAACAGAUGCACACACAAGCGUAAAAGGUGGAGAAUUUGAAAGGCCAGGUCUCUUGACCUGAGCU